AUGCACUCUCUUCAUUCUCCACCUUCACCCCUGAACUUCCUUCUUUAUCCUUUCUCUGCUCACUCUCUCUUACGCACCUUCACCAUCACCACCUUCAUCUUCUUGGAACCUCCAUCACCACCUUCAUCAUUUCAACACAACUAUUACACACUUCAACCUUCAUCAUAUUUUGAUAUCAUCUUCAAUCACCAUCAUCGGUUCUUCCUGAGGCUUCAUCAACAACCACACCUUCUUCAUCAUCAUUAA